AUUUGCAGAAUGGGAAAAGAGGAAGGAAUGGCUAGUGAGGCUCCCCCCUCGUACGUUGACUCCACUCAACCCGCAGCAGCGCCUCCCUAUCAAUAUCCACCACAAGCAAGCUAUCCGCCACAAGCAAGCUAUCCACCACAAGCAAGCUAUCCGCCACAAGCAAGCUAUCCACCACAAGGAAGCUAUCCGCCACAAGCAAGCUAUCCGCCACAAGGAAGCUAUCCACCACAAGGAAGCUAUCCGCCACAAGGGAGCUAUCCUCCAACUGGUUACCCACCUGUACAAGCUGAUUAUACACCACCCACUAGCAACCAUCCUCAACAAUAUCAACCAUAUCAAGGUGUACAAAUGGUGACUGCAUCUCCUUGUAACGCUUGCAAUAUGCAGAAUUUUGGAGGGGGAAACCCGAUACAAGGCUGUCUGCUAAGCUCGAAUGGAAGAAAAUGUCAGUUUAUUUACGUAAUAGCGGCAGUGGUUGUUGUAAUGGUACUCAUCUCUACUAUUGACGGAGGUAAUGCCUUCCCCCAGGCAGCUCUCAUUCCUUUUAUAAUCUUCACAAUUGUAGUAAACUUGAUGUUUUACAUUCCCGUCACCAUUCAAAGAUCUAGAAACCCCCACAGUUGCGACAGAAAGAACGAGUCACUUUGGUGUUAAGGGGGCUGGGGGGGGGGGGGGGUCUUCUUAAGGACACAUUUUUAGAACAUUUACAUACAAUUUAAAUUUAGAACAUCUUACAGGGUUGCUAAAAGGCUAAAAGCAUGAAUAUAUCAAAAUUAAAUGUUCGUUAAGCUCGGUGAGAGCUAUUUUUAUCCACAUAUUGAAA